AUGUCUUUUUGAUUAUAAUUUAAGGUUUAAUCUGCUCAAUGAUUAUUUAAAUUGCCGCAGUAUUUUGACUGUGCAAAGGUAGCAUAAUAAUUAGUUUCUUUAUUGGGAACUGGAAUGAAUGAUUGGACGAGAAAAUUUCUGUCUCUUUAUUAUUUUAAUUGAAUUUUACUUUUAAGUUAAAAGGCUUAAAUUUUAUUAGAGGACGAGAAGACCCUAUAGAGUUUAAUUUUUAUUUAAAUAAUUAUUUUUAGUAUUUAUAUAUAUUAUUUAAAUAAAAAUUUAGUUGGGGUGACUAAAAGAUAAGAAUAACUCUUUUAAUUUUAAUCAAUUAUUUUUGAUUAUAAAAUCUUUAUUUUUAAUUUUAAAAUAAAUUACCUUAGGGAUAACAGCGUAAUUCUUUUUUAAAGUUCUUAUUAAAAGAAGAGUUUGCGACCUCGAUGUUGGAUUAAAAUUAAUUUUAGGUGUAGAAGCUUGAAAAUUAAGUCUGUUCGACUUUUAAAAUUUUACAUGAUCUGAGUUUAAACCGGUGUGAGCCAGGUUGGUUUCUAUCCUUAAUUAUAUAUUAUACUUU
rnacentral:rRNA from 1 species